GUCUUGCCUGCCCUGUGACAUAAACUGUUUAACGGCCGCGGUAUUCUGACCGUGCAAAGGUAGCGCAAUCACUUGUCUUUUAAAUGAAGACCUGUAUGAAUGGCAUAACGAGGGCUAAGCUGUCUCCUUUUUCCAGUCAAUGAAAUUGAUCUCCCCGUGCAGAAGCGGGGAUGACCACAUAAGACGAGAAGACCCUAUGGAGCUUUAGACACUAAAACAGAUUUUAUAACCCCUCCCCUGACACGGGGACAAGUAAAUAAAAAACCUGUCCUUAUGUCUUUGGUUGGGGCGACCGCGGGGAAACAAAAAACCCCCACGUGGAAUGAGAAUAUCUUCCCUAAACUAAGAGCCACAGCUCUAAUUAACAGAACUUCUGACCAUACGAUCCGGCAUACGCCGAUCAACGAACCGAGUUACCCUAGGGAUAACAGCGCAAUCCUCUUUUAGAGCCCAUAUCGACAAGAGGGUUUACGACCUCGAUGUUGGAUCAGGACAUCCUAAUGGUGCAGCCGCUAUUAAGGG
rnacentral:rRNA from 1 species